GAUCCUGGCUCAGAAUCAACGCUGGCGGCGUGCCUCAGACAUGCAAGUCGUACGUGAAAGUCCUUCGGGAUGAGUAAAGUGGCGCACGGGUGAGUAACACGUGAGUUAUCUGCCUUUGGGUGGGGAAUACCAACCGGAAACGGUUGUUAAUACCGCAUAAUGCUUGCGCUGUAAUGGCGUAUGUUAAAGCGGGGGAUCAGCAAUGACCUCGCGCCUGGAGAGGAGCUCGCGGCAGAUUAGGUAGUUGGUGAGGUAAUGGCUCACCAAGCCUGCGAUCUGUAACCGGCCUGAGAGGGCGGUCGGUCACACUGACACUGACAUACGGGUCAGACUCCUACGGGAGGCAGCAGUCGGGAAUUUUGGGCAAUGGGCGAAAGCCUGACCCAGCAACGCCGCGUGAAGGAUGAAGCAUUUCGGUGUGUAAACUUCGCAAGAAUAGGAAGAAUAAGUUUGAACAAAUAAUUCAAACGAUGACGGUACUAUUUAUAAGCUCCGGCUAACUUCGUGCCAGCAGCCGCGGUAAUACGAGGGGAGCAAGCGUUGUUCGGAUUUACUGGGCGUAAAGGGUGCGUAGGCGGCACCACAAGUCACUUGUGAAAUCUUUGGGCUUAACCCAAAGCGGCCAAGUGAUACUGUGGAGCUAGAGUGCAGAAGGGGCAACUGGAAUUCCCGGUGUAGCGGUGAAAUGCG
rnacentral:rRNA from 1 species